UACGAAGGGGGCUAGCGUUGCUCGGAAUCACUGGGCGUAAAGGGUGCGUAGGCGGGUCUUUAAGUCAGGGGUGAAAUCCUGGAGCUCAACUCUGGAACUGCCCUUGAAACUGUAUGGCUUGAGUAUGAGAGAGGUGAGUGGAAUUCCCAGUGUAGAGGUGAAAUUCGUAGAUAUUGGGAAGAACACCGGUGGCGAAGGCGGCUCACUGGCUCAUUACUGACGCUCAGGCGCGACAGCGUGGGGAUCAAACAGG
rnacentral:rRNA from 1 species